CUUUUGGUCUCGAACUUCCCAUUUAUUUAUGCUAUCCUAGAGAAUGAAUGAGAUGGAGAAAAAGAAAAACUGGAAGUUUAUCCCUGUCCGUAGAAAAGGAUGAGAAAACUGAAGGUCAUGGUAUCUAAGAAGAUAGGUUAAUAAAGUGUGAAGGAGAUACCAGACCUGAUUAUAAAAUGAAAUUAUAAGAACAUUAUGAUGAAGACAAUGCCUAAGGAAAGAGUUAAUUUUCCUAUACUUUGUAACUUUCAGAACUCUGUAGGAAUGUACCUACCUCACCUAAUUGCAAGUAUAAAUUGUAGGUUACUAUGCCAAUUAACUGCUGUCUAAACUAUAACAUCGUUGGCUUAGUUCUUAGAAGUGUAACUCUUCAGGAGAUAAAAUCAAAGUUAUCUUGAGUUACUGCUGCCUUGGGUUAAGGCCACUGAACAAUAUUAUUCGCAGGUGUUUUACUGUCUUUGUUUUACAGGUGUGAACUAGUUAUUGUAAAUUCUCUGUGCAUAAUGGCCCUUGGUCGCGUAGGUCAAGAAUUCAAACCCACCAAUGUUGUAAUGGUUAAGAAAUGUCAAAUUUCCUAUAAAAGCCCCAUGUAACCUCAGCGUGGGACCCAGAAUUUAAGAGCACUAGUUCAUCAGGGUCCGCCAGGGAAAAUAAACUGUUCUCCAAUACUGCAAGUGGUGCUUGGUCUCUUGCAGAGCAUGAUUUCCAUAACAAAAGAAGUCAUUUGUACAAUAAUUGGAGAGUGUCGGGAGUUGAAAAAAACUAUAAUGAUUUAUCUGAAGAAAAAUCAUUAAUCACAUACAGAAGCUUUCCUGGUACUGCUUUUACUUAUUGUAUGUCCAGUGCCUGGCAGUAUAAAAUAAGGAGUAGGUGGUCAAUUGCUGAAUUAAAUUAAACCAACAUGAAAAAACUUUAGAAUGUAUGCUGGACAAAUCAUAUAAAUGUCAGAAUUUUAGAAUGUUUUAAAAGAUGGCUAUGUCAAUUUUAUGAGCCUCAAAAAAAUGUUUCACACUCACUUACCACCUGGAUUAAUUCAGCUGUAAAUUCAGAAGUAGGUCAGCUUCCCAGACCUCCUGUGAAGUUAUCCAUCUGGGAAAAUGCUACCACUUUCUCUUUAACACCCAGAGGCCUUUAACAUUUGAAAGCAAAUUGCCCCUCAAAGUGCCUUUCUAGAAAAAAUGGAAAAGAUGUGCUCUACAUCCAGUGAGUGAAAAAUAAGAACAUGUUUAACCUACAACCUGAGGUUCAAAGCUAGGAAUAAAUUAUUACUUGAGAGCAUUGAGAGAGAUUCUCAAUAUUAUGUUAAAUAGG
rnacentral:lncRNA from 1 species